GGGGAUGUACUGGUUUCGACGGGGGUGUAGAGGCAGGAAUAGCGGGCGGAUGCGCCUACCAUCCUUAAAAUGGGCACUUAUAAAUUAGACAACAACAAUUCUGUUGAACUGGUAGCCGCUUAAGGCUACCCGUCCUCCCCGAGAGCGCUGCGGCUCGGGUGCAGGGCGUCGAUUAGCAGCGUCCGUGAGUGCGCAAAGCUUUGAGCGCACCAUGAAUAAUGAAGCUACCUGACCCCAAAGCGUGGCGGUUUGCCUUGGGUGAUGGGAACGGGAGGCUCGCAGCCUCCAGAAUAACCGUCUGCGCCCGGAGAAGUUCCUGUUAAAGCGCUCUCGGACGGGGGUUCAACUCCCCCCAUCUCCACCA
rnacentral:tmRNA from 1 species